GAGCAGAAUCUAGCGACAGUGCAGCUGUGAGGUGCUGCAUUGUCUUUGCCCUGCUCAAAAGAAAACUGUUACCUUCCUGGCCCUGCCUGCCACUGUACCCAAACCACAGGAAUACUUGGUCUCAGACAU
rnacentral:snoRNA from 1 species